GCCGGGAUAGCUCAGUUGGUAGAGCAGAAGAUUGAAAAUC
rnacentral:tRNA from 1 species